rnacentral:rRNA from 1 species
UCCUGUUGAUCCUGCAGGAGAUUGCUGCUAUCAGGGUUCGACUAAGCCAUGCAAGUCCUGGGGUCGCAAGACACCGGCAAACUGCUCAGUAACACGUUGAUAAUCUGUCCUUCGGUCUGGGAUACCCCCGGGAAACUGGGGUUAAAACCGGAUAGAAGACUAGUUCUGGAAAGAAUUGUCUUCCAAAGGCAACGCCGAAGGGUGAGUCAGCGGCCGAUUAGGUUGUUGGUGGGGUAAAGGCCCACCAAGCCGACGAUCGGUAGGGGCCUUGAAAGAGGGAGCCCCGAGAAGGGAACUGAGAUACAGUCCCUAGCCCUACGGGGUGCAGCAGGCGCGAAACCUUUACAAUGCACGAAAGUGUGAUAAGGGAACCCUGAGUGCUCAGCUAUGCUGGGCUUUUGCUAAGAGUAAAAACCUUGGCGAAUAAGUGGUGGGUAAGACGGGUGCCAGCCGCCGCGGUAACACCCGCGCCACAAGUGGUAAUCGUUGUUAUUGGGCCUAAAGCGUCCGUAGCAGGUCAUGUAAAUCUCUUGUGAAAUUGUCGUGCUCAACAUGACAGCGCGCAAGGGACACUGCAAGACUAGGGACCGGGAGGGGUUAGAGGUAUUUCUUGGGGAGCGGUAAAAUGCUAUAAUCCAAGAAGGACCACCUAUGGCGAAGGCAUCUAACCAGAACGGAUCCGACUGUGAGGGACGAAAGCUAGGGGAGCGAACCGGAUUAGAUACCCGAGUAGUCCUAGCUGUAAACGCUGCGAGCUAGGUGUUGCACAAUCUUCAAGGUUGUGCAGUAUCGAAGCGAAGGCGAUAAGCUCGCCGCCUGGGAAGUACGGUCGCAAGGCUGAAACUUAAAGGAAUUGGCGGGGGAGCACUACAAGGGGUGCGGCGUGCGGUUUAAUCUAACUCCACACAGAGAAUCUCACCAGAAGCGACGGCAGGAUGAAAGUCAGAUUAAAGGUUUUACUUGACGAGCCGAGAGGUGGUGCAUGGCCGCCGUCAGCUCGUGCCGUGAGGUGUCCAGUUAAGUCUGGUAACGAGCGAGACCUGCGUCCACAAUUGCUAACGGGUGCUUUUGCAUGACUGAGCACAUUGUGGGGACUGCCCUGCAAACAGGGAGGAAGGUGCAGGCUACGGUAGGUCUGUAUGCCCCGAAUCUUCUGGGCUACACGCGCGCAACAAUGGUAAGGACAAUGGGCUGCGACUCCGAAAGGAGAAGCUAAUCCUCGAAACCUUAUCCAAGUCCGGAUUGAGGGUUGUAACCCACCCUCAUGACGUUGGAAUCCCUAGUAAUCGGACGUUAUCAGCGUCCGGUGAAUACGUCCCUGCUCCUUGCACACACCGCCCGUCAAACCACUCGAGCAGGGUCUAGAUGAGGCCCAGUUUUUUGACUGUAUCGAAUCUAGGCUCAGUGAGAAGGGUUAAGUCGUCACAAGGUA